rnacentral:tRNA from 1 species
UGGGGAGUAGUGUAAUGGCAGCACCGCAGAUUCUGGAUCUGCUUGUAGGGGUUCAAGUCCUCUCUCCCCAGCCA